rnacentral:snoRNA from 1 species
GGCUGCGCUUGAGCAGCUCGAUGAUUCUGACAACAUUCGAUGCGAACCGGGGAAGCCUGCUAACAUCGAUUUCUAUGGACGCCACUUUGUCAAAAGGAAAAUUAUCAAAGCGGGUGUCUCUCUUGGAUGAGCUGUUUUCAAGCCUGAAGAGCGCUCCGUGAUCAAUGAUAUGUCUCCUGACACGCCUCUUGAAGCGAAUAGUGGCCCAGAGGGUUUCAUUUUCCUUGUGUGAGAAGGAUGGAUCGAAACUUAUAUGUGUCUUGGAAUAUAUAACGUGCGAUAUCUCAUUGUAGAGGCCUUUGCUCGCACGGAGUACUCGUAGGUCCACUUCGGCUGAGGUUUGGGCUGUAAUUGGCUG